CACCGGCCCGCCCGGGCCCUAGUGGGUGGGCGCAGCCUCUGGCGCUUCUUCGGGAUCCCAGCUGACCAGCUGGGGGUGGGGCGUGGCGGAGUGGCCACGUGGGCCGCGCGGAGAACGCGCCAGGCUCAUCACCUGGAUCAUCGUGCCUCAGUUUCCCCCUCGGCAAAUGGGGCUUCAGCGGCUCGCGACGCACAUUGAUGGAGCGUAUGUCCAGGCGCCGGUGCACCGCAAGGAGCAAAACAGACACAGUUCUUGGUCCUAGGGCUCACGUCCCGGGGCGAAGAGGAUCCUCCAUAAACGAUCAGCCAUAGCAGCUGUGAUUGGACAAGAGACUGAUUUCAGUGACUUUCUCCUAAUAAGAGACCACCGACCAGCUGACCAUGCCGACCAGCUGACCCGUUAAUAGAGAGAGAUGAUGCACCUGCAUGCCUUUGUGUCCUGAAAAGACGUUUUGCCAUAAAGGCCCUAAUUGUAAGAUGUGUAAAUGUUAAGUCUCCACCCCAAAGUGAACAUGGGUCAUAUAUUACAUGCUUUGCUCAAUAAGAGGGCAUGUGUCAGGACCACCUUCAUGAAUAUUCAUAGCUCCUCCUGUUACCUGUUGAAUAUGUAUGUUUAGCCAAUCCCUUCAGCAUAGCGCUCCUGCCC
rnacentral:lncRNA from 1 species